rnacentral:tRNA from 1 species
GGGGCGGUCAGGAAGGGAUCGCGAAUCCGCAAUCUGGCACGGUCAGAAGCGGCUUCGGGACAAAACCGCUAUGCGGGGGUUCGAGUCCCCCCCAGGCCUCA